GAUACACGUCUCGUGGGCGAGAAUUCCAGACGCGAGGGGGGGCUCGCGUUUUUUCCACGAGACUGGGCGGCGCUCCGUCCUGCGACGACUCCGCGACGGCCUCCGACUCAGCGGCGGCCGUCGAAUCCUCGGGCGACGCGAGCGGCGCAGCGAGCUCUCAGGGAGGCGAAGCUCGAUCCAGACGGGCGCGCUGUCCUUCCGACGACUCCGCGGCGGCCGACAAAUACUCAGGCGACGCCGACGAGUCCGCGACAAGUCCUGGUGACUCCGACGAUUCCAACUGCCACCGCCGGUCCUGCCACCGUCUCUCCUAACCUCGCUGCUCCUCAUCAAGUCCAUUAGCCGAGGCUGCUUCAAUUUUGGCUUCUUGUCGUGCAGUUCGGCAUGAAGCUUGACAGUUUUGGCAUUUCCUACUGCAAUUUGGCAUGAAUCUAGAACAAAAAGUUUUCUGAAAGACGAAUCUUUGAAGUAUGAUGCCGCCAGAUUUCUGAAAGAUUUACUUGCGUAGCAUGGACCUUCAUUUCUCUGUUCCGUGCAAGCAAGCUGAGACACAUUGUUAAGUGGGCAUAGUGAAGUUAACAAUAUUUAUUGUCCAUAACAUGUUGCUUUCUUCAUUUAUGCUGUGUGACAUCCCCAUGAGUUUUAAGCAACAUUUGGUGUAUGAAAUACAGUACUCUUGUUGGUCAGUGAUUUGUGCCAAAGUUUGCCAUCUCAGGGCACUCAACCUAAUAACGCUUCCUAGUUAUUUGAAAUCUUUGAAAGCAAGACAAGGUUCAGAGCA